rnacentral:rRNA from 1 species
GUCUAUGGCCACGCCACCCUGAGCAUAACCCAUCAUGUCUGAUCUCAGAAGCUAAGCAGGGUUGGGCCUGGUUAAUACUUGGAUAGAAGACCACUUAGGAAGGCCGGGUGUUGUAGGCG